rnacentral:rRNA from 1 species
UGGGGAAUAUUGGACAAUGGGCGAAAGCCUGAUCCAGCCAUGCCGCGUGUGUGAAGAAGGUCUUCGGAUUGUAAAGCACUUUAAGUUGGGAGGAAGGGCAGUAAAUUAAUACUUUGCUGUUUUUGACGUUACCGACAGAAUAAGCACCGGCUAACUCUGUGCCAGCAGCCGCGGUAAUACAGAGGGUGCAAGCGUUAAUCGGAAUUACUGGGCGUAAAGCGCGCGUAGGUGGUUCGUUAAGUUGGAUGUGAAAUCCCCGGGCUCAACCUGGGAACUGCAUUCAAAACUGACGAGCUAGAGUAUGGUAGAGGGUGGUGGAAUUUCCUGUGUAGCGGUGAAAUGCGUAGAUAUAGGAAGGAACACCAGUGGCGAAGGCGACCACCUGGACUGAUACUGACACUGAGGUGCGAAAGCGUGGGGAGCAAAA